rnacentral:rRNA from 1 species
GACGAACGCUGGCGGCGUGCCUAACACAUGCAAGUCGAACGGGUAAUUUCUUCGGAGAUUACUUAGUGGCGAACGGGUGAGUAACGCGUGAGAAACCUGCCUUUCAGUGGGGACAACAGUUGGAAACGACUGCUAAUACCGCAUAAUGUUAUUUGGGGCAAUUCGCUUCAGGAUGGACCCGCGUCUGAUUAGCUAGUUGGUGAGGUAACGGCUCACCAAGUCGACGAUCGGUAGCCGGACUGAGAGGUUGAACGGCCACAUUGGGACUGAGACACGGCCCAGACUCCUACGGGAGGCAGCAGUGGGGAAUAUUGCACAAUGGGGGGAAACCCUGAUGCAGCGACGCCGCGUGAGCGAUGAAGUAUUUCGGUAUGUAAAGCUCUAUCAGCAAGGAAGAUAAUGACGGUACUUGACUAAGAAGCCCCCGGCUAAACUACGUG